UUAGAGAAAAGGUCUAAAUGGGCAAGUGUC
rnacentral:piRNA from 1 species